CAACCCUGAUUUACAAUUCACCCUCUUCCGGGCGCUGCACUCUACCCUUCCCGCUUACCCACACCCACAGAUCAGAGACACCACUCGGCCACUCCUUCUUCCUUGACCACCACUGGAGACUGAUUGCCGGAGAUCUCCCGCUCCUCCUCGCGAUCAUCCCUCCCUCUUCUUGGUUCAGACGUUCUCGCCGCCAGUCGUACUCAGUUCCUGCCACAUCGCCGUCCUCGUUUCGGUUCCCACCGUCAGUCCGUGGUCCUUUGUUCUCGCCUCCUUGACGUCCUCUGUGCUUGCCGCCUUGCCGUACUCAGUUCCUUCCGCUUACGAAAUUGGACCCACAUUGGCUAUUUCAAGGGGUUAGGAUCCACAGAUUGCUAUGAAGUUGAAAUUGAUGAUCAGCAAUUAACAAUGGCAUCCAUUAGCAGGGGUCAAGGUGGAAUUCAACAGUUGUUGGCUGCUGAACAAGAAGCACAGCAGAUUGUUAAUGAUGCAAAGAAUGAAAAACUGGCUAGCUGAAACAGGCCAAAGAUGAGGCUGAAAAGGAGAUUGCUGAACAUCGAACUCAGCUUGAGUACCAGUUUCAGAAGAAAGUUUCAGAGAGUAGCGGAGAUUCUGGUGCUAAUGUCAAGCGACUUGAGCAAGAAACUGAGUCAAAGAUCCAUCUCCUGAAAUCCGAGUCUUCAAGAAUAUCAGGGGAUGUUGUCAGCAUGCUCCUCAGUUAUGUAACAACAGUGAAAAAUUAGAAUGCUUGAUGAUACAUUCAUUGUUGCUGCAAAUUCAUGGUGUAUGUAUAUGCCGGAUAUUAUGUCGGUGUUAUUGUUGAUUUUUGUUUGUCAGGGUGGAUAAGAUUCCUGUUUUGGGUACUAUGGUAGGUACCUCAAUGCUAUGUAUGCAAAAUAAGUUCAUAUUUGCUAUAAUAAACAGAAUAGAUUUAGUAGACCUUUUCUAUUGGUAUCACCAUUUAAGUUUCAA